UACGGGGGGGGCAAGCGUUGUUCGGAAUUACUGGGCGUAAAGGGCUCGUAGGUGGCCAACUAAGUCAGACGUGAAAUCCCCAGGCUUAACCUGGGAACUGCGUCUGAUACUGGAUGGCUUGAAUUCGGGAGAGGGAUGCGGAAUUCCAGGUGUAGCGGUGAAAUGCGUAGAUAUCUGGAGGAACACCGGUGGCGAAGGCGGCAUCCUGGACCGACACUGACGCUGAGGAGCGAAAGCCAGGGGAGCAAACGGG
rnacentral:rRNA from 1 species